GACGAACGCUGGCGGCGUGCUUAACACAUGCAAGUCGAGCGGUAAGGCCUCUUCGGGGGUACACGAGCGGCGAACGGGUGAGUAACACGUGGGUGACCUGCCCUCAGCUCUGGGAUAAGCCUGGGAAACUGGGUCUAAUACCGGAUAUGACCUUUCCUCGCAUGGGGUUUGGUGGAAAGUUUUUUCGGCUGGGGGUGGGCCCGCGGCCUAUCAGCUUGUUGGUGGGGUGAUGGCCUACCAAGGCGACGACGGGUAGCCGGCCUGAGAGGGCGACCGGCCACACUGGGACUGAGACACGGCCCAGACUCCUACGGGAGGCAGCAGUGGGGAAUAUUGCGCAAUGGGCGGAAGCCUGACGCAGCGACGCCGCGUGGGGGAUGACGGCCUUCGGGUUGUAAACCUCUUUCGACCCCGACGAAUUUGGACGGUAGGGGUAGAAGAAGCACCGGCCAACUACGUG
rnacentral:rRNA from 1 species